UACGUAGGUGACAAGCGUUGUCCGGAUUUAUUGGGCGUAAAGAGCGCGCAGGCGGUCGUUCAAGUCGAGUGUGAAAGCCCCCGGCUCAACUGGGGAGGGUCACUCGAUACUGAUCGACUCGAAGGCAGGAGAGGGAAGUGGAAUUCCCGGUGUAGUGGUGAAAUGCGUAGAUAUCGGGAGGAACACCAGUGGCGAAGGCGACUUCCUGGCCUGUUCUUGACGCUGAGGCGCGGAAGCUAGGGGAGCAAACGGG
rnacentral:rRNA from 1 species